GACGAACGCUGGCGGCGUGCCUAACACAUGCAAGUCGAACGGAGAUCUCCUCAACGGACGCAUUUAUGUGGAAGAUGGGGAAAAUCUUAGUGGCGGACGGGUGAGUAACGCGUGAGCAACCUGGCCUUUGGAGGGGGAUAACAACGGGAAACCGUUGCUAAUACCGCAUAAUGUGCUUAUGGGGCAUCCCAUGAGUAAGAAAGGAAUUUAUUCCACCGAAGGAUGGGCUCGCGUCCCAUUAGGUAGAUGGCGGGGUAACGGCCCACCAUGCCAACGAUGGGUAGCCGGACUGAGAGGUUGAACGGCCACACUGGGACUGAGACACGGCCCAGACUCCUACGGGAGGCAGCAGUGGGGAAUAUUGGGCAAUGGGGGAAACCCUGACCCAGCAACGCCGCGUGAAGGAAGAAGGUUUUCGGAUUGUAAACUUCUGUCCUUGGGGAAGAAGAAGUGACGGUACCCAAGGAGGAAGCCCCGGCUAACUACGUGCCAGCAGCCGCAGUAAAAC
rnacentral:rRNA from 1 species